ensembl:miRNA
CCCUCACCCCACUUAGACAGGGCAUGUUCUUGGUGUUGGAAGCCAGGCCCGGAGUUGCCAGCACUGGCCUGGACUGUGGCUGACCUGGUCCUCCCUGAGCUGGGGAGAAGGGAGGGAGGUGCU